rnacentral:rRNA from 1 species
ACUAACGCUGGCGGCGUGCCUAACACAUGCAAGUCGAACGGAGGUAUUGAUGUAGUAAUACAUUGAUACUUGAGUGGCGGACGGGUGAGUAACGCGUAGAUAACGUGUCCUUCAGUGUGGGAUAGCCGUUGGAAACGACGGGUAAUACCGCAUGCGAUGGUUGUGUGACAUCAUACAAUUAUGAAAGCAGCGAUGCGCUGAAGGAGCGGUUUACGUCCUAUUAGCUAGUUGGUGGGGUAAAGGCCUACCAAGGCAUCGAUGGGUAGCCGGUCUGAGAGGAUGGUCGGCCACACUGGCACUGAGACACGGGCCAGACUCCUACGGGAGGCAGCAGUGAGGGAUCUUGCGCAAUGGGGGAAACCCUGACGCAGCGACGCCGCGUGCGGGAUGAAGGUUUUCGGAUUGUAAACCGCUGUCAGUGGUGAAGAGUAAGGACGGUAGCCACUGAGGAAGCUUCGGCUAACUACGU